rnacentral:snRNA from 1 species
CAGCAGAUAUGCUAAAAUUGGAAAAUUGGAAUGAUACAGAGAAGAUUAGCAUGACCCCUGCACAAGGAUGACACACNAAUUUAUGAAGCAUUUGAUAUUAUU